AUACUUACCUGGCACAGGAGAUACCGUGAUCAUGAGGCGGUUUUCCCAAGGCGAGGCCUCACCAUGGCACUUCCGGUGGGCGCUGACCCUUGCGAUUAAACCCAAAUGUGGUUAACUCGAUGCGCAAUUUUUGUUUAGUGGGGGACUGCGUGUCGCUCUAUCCCCCU
rnacentral:snRNA from 1 species